UACGUAGGGGGCUAGCGUUGUCCGGAAUCAUUGGGCGUAAAGAGCGUGUAGGCGGUCCGGUAAGUCCGCUGUGAAAGUCGGGGGCUCAACCCUCGAAUGCCGGUGGAUACUGUCGGGCUAGAGUGCGGAAGAGGCGAGUGGAAUUCCUGGUGUAGCGGUGAAAUGCGCAGAUAUCAGGAGGAACACCUAUUGCGAAGGCAGCUCGCUGGGACGUAACUGACACUCAGGGACGAAAGCUAGGGGAGCGAAUGGG
rnacentral:rRNA from 1 species